GACGAACGCUGGCGGCGUGCCUAAUACAUGCAAGUCGAACGCAGUGGGGACGGGUGAGUAACACGUGGGUAACCUCCCAUCAGAGGGGAUAACACUUGGAAAUAGGUGCUAAACCGCUACUGUGGGCUGGUCCCGCGGUGCAUUAGCUAGUUGGUGAGGUAACGGCUCACCAAGGCCCCGAUGCAAAGCCGGCCUGAGAGGGUGAUCGGACACACUGGGACUGAGAAACGGCCCCGCCGCCUUCGGUAGGCAGCAGUAGGGAAUCUUCGGCAAUGGACGAAAGUCUGACCGAGCAACGCCGCGUGAGUGAAGAAGGUUUUCGGAUCGUAAAGCUCUGUUGUUAGAGAAGCGGUAGCUAACCAAAAAGCCACGGCUAACUACGUGCCAGCAGCCGCGGUAAUUC
rnacentral:rRNA from 1 species